rnacentral:rRNA from 1 species
GUUUGCCUACGGGGGGCAGCAGUAGGGAAUCUUCCACAAUGGGCGAAAGCCUGAUGGAGCAACGCCGCGUGGGUGAAGAAGGUCUUCGGAUCGUAAAACCCUGUUGUUAGAGAAGAAAGUGCGUGAGAGUAACUGUUCACGUUUCGACGGUAUCUAACCAGAAAGCCAAGGCUAACUACGUGCCAGCAGCCGCGGUAAUACGUAGGUGGCAAGCGUUAUCCGGAUUUAUUGGGCGUAAAGGGAACGCAGGAGGUCUUUUAAGGUUGAUGUGAAAGGCUUUGGCUUAACCG